CAGAACCCCAUAGAACCCCAUAAGAUCCCAUCAGACCCCACCAGAACCCCAUAGAACCCCAUAAGAUCCCAUCAGACCCCACCAGAACCCCAUAAGACCCCACCAGAACCCCAUAAGAUCCCAUAGGAUCCCAUCAGACCCCACCAGAACCCCAUAAGAUCCCAUCAGACCCCACCAGAUCCCAUCAGACCCCACCAGAACCCCAUAAGACCCCCACCAGAACCCCAUAAGAUCCCACCAGACCCCACCAGAACCCCACCAGAUCCCAUAAGAUCCCAUCAGACCCCACCAGAACCCCAUAGAACCCCAUAGGAUCCCAUCAGACCCCUCCGAACCCCAUAGAACCCCAUAAGAUCCCAUCAGACCCCACCAGAACCCCAUAAGACCCUACCAGAACCCCAUAAGACCCCAUCAGACCCCACCAGAACCCCAUAAGACCCCACCAGAACCCCAUAAGAUCCCAUCAGACCCCUCCAGAACCCCAUAGAACCCCACCAGAACCUCAUAAGACCCCACCAGAACCCCAUAAGAUCCCAUCAGAUCCCACCAGAACCCCACCAGAUCCCAUAAGACCCCACCAGACCCCACCAGAACGCCAUAGAACCCCAUCAGACCCCACCAGAUCCCAUCAGACCCCAUCAGAACCCCAUAAGAUCCCAUCAGACCCCUCCAGAACCCCAUAGAACCCCAUAAGAUCCCAUCAGACCCCACCAGAACCCCAUAGAACCCCACCAGAACCCCAUAAGACCCCACCAGAACCCCAUAGAACCCCAUAAUAUCCCAUCAGACCCCUUCAGAACCCCAUAGAACCCCAUAAGAUCCCAUCAAACCCCACCAGAACCCCAUCAGACCCCACCAGGCCCCACAAGAUCCCAUAAGACCCCACCAGACCCCACCAGAACCCCAUAAGACCCCAUAAGACCCCACCAGAACCCCAUAGAACCCCACCAGAACCCCAUAAGACCACACCAGAACCCCAUAAGAUCCCAUAGGUUCCCAUCAGACCCCACCAGAACCCCAUAAGAUCCCAACAGACCCCACCAGAACCCCACCAGAUCCCAUAAGAUCCCAUAAGACCCCACCAGAACCCCAUCAGACCCCACCAGGCCCCACAAGAUCCCAUAAGACCCCACCAGACCCCACCAGAACCCCAUAAGACCCCAUAAGACCCCACCAGAACCCCAUAGAACCCCACCAGAACCCCAUAAGACCACACCAGAACCCCAUAAGAUCCCAUAGGUUCCCAUCAGACCCCACCAGAACCCCAUAAGAUCCCAUAAGACCCCACCAGGCCCCACAAGAUCCCAUAAGACCCCACCAGACCCCACCAGAACCCCAUAAGACCCCAUAAGACCCCACCAGAACCCCAUAGAACCCCACCAGAACCCCAUAAGAUCCCAUCAGACCCCACCAGAACCCCAUAAGAUCCCAUAGGUUCCCAUCAGACCCCACCAGAACCCCAUAAGAUCCCAUAAGACCCCACCAGAACCCCAUCAGACCCCACCAGGCCCCACAAGAUCCCAUAAGACCCCACCAGAACCCCAUAGAACCCCACCAGAACCCCAUAAGACCACACCAGAACCCCAUAAGAUCCCAUAGGUUCCCAUCAGACCCCACCAGAACCCCAUAAGAUCCCAUCAGACCCCACCAGAACCCCAUAAGACCCCACCAGAACCCCAUAAGACCCCAUCAGACCCCUCCAGAACCCCAUAGAACCCCACCAGAACCUCAUAAGACCCCACCAGAACCCCAUAAGAUCCCAUAGGAUCCCACCAGACCCCACCAGAACCCCAUAAGACCCCACCAGACCCCACCAGAACCCCAUAAGAUCCCAUCAGACCCCACCAGGCCCCACAAGAUCCCAUAUGAUCCCAUAAGAUCCCACCAGACCCCACCAGAACCCCAUAAGACCCCACCAGGCCCCACAAGAUCCCAUCAGACCCCAUAAGAUCCCAUCAGACCCCACCAGAACCCCAUAGAACACCAUAGAACCCCAUAAGACCCCACCAGAACCCCAUAAGAUCCCAUAGGAUCCCACCAGAACCCCAUAAGACCCCAUAAGACCCCCCCCAGAACCCCACAAAGAACUCCCCCAUCCACCAAAGCUCUGGAAAAGCAUCGCUUUAUUGGGACAGCCGGGGGGGGGGGGGGGUCCCAAAAGGAUCCCAUAAGGGGUCCCAGAAGGAUCCCAUAAGGGGUCCCAGAAGGAUCCCAUAAGGGGUCCCAUAGGGGUCCCACGGGGGGUCCCAUAUGGGGGGGGGGGGGGGGGGGGUCCCGGUUUUGGGGUCACUCCCCCUCUUUGUCCUCCCCGUGGGUGAUGACGUAGCAGAUGUUCUUAUAGUCCACGUUGCCCGCCACGUCGGGGGGGAAGGCGGCCCACAU
ensembl:lncRNA